rnacentral:rRNA from 1 species
AUUGAACGCUGGCGGCAGGCUUAACACAUGUAAGUCGAGCGGAGAUGAGGUGCUUGCACCUUAUCUUAGCGGCGGACGGGUGAGUAAUGCUUAGGAAUCUGCCUAUUAGUGGGGGACAACAUUCCGAAAGGAAUGCUAAUCCCGCAUACGUCCUACGGCAGAAAGCAGGGGAUCUUCGGACCUUGCGCUAAUAGAUGAGCCUAAGUCGGCUUAGCUAGUUGGCGGGGUAAAGGCCUACCAAGGCGACGAUCUGUAGCGGGUCUGAGAGGAUGAUCCGCCACACUGGGACUGAGACACGGCCCAGACUCCUACGGGAGGCAGCAGUGGGGAAUAUUGGACAAUGGGGGGAACCCUGAUCCAGCCAUGCCGCGUGUGUGAAGAAGGCCUUAUGGUUGUAAAGCACUUUAAGCGAGGAGGAGGCUACUGAGACUAAUACUCUUGGAUAGUGGACGUUACUCGCAGAAUAAGCACCGGCUAACUCUGUGCCAGCCGCCGCCGUAAGAC